rnacentral:sRNA from 1 species
GGGGGCAGGAGGUUCGACUCGAGCGAAGCGAGAGAACGUUGCGUCAGCAACGGCCCGCAGGGCGAGCCACGAAGUGGUGAGUCAUCCUCUAUCACCGACCA